rnacentral:rRNA from 1 species
UAGGGAAUCUUCCGCAAUGGGCGAAAGCCUGACGGAGCAACGCCGCGUGAGUGAAGAAGGAUUUCGGUUCGUAAAGCUCUGUUGUUAGGGAAGAAUGAUUGUGUAGUAACUAUACACAGUAGAGACGGUACCUAACCAGAAAGCCACGGCUAACUACGUGCCAGCAGCCGCGGUAAUACGUAGGUGGCAAGCGUUGUCCGGAAUUAUUGGGCGUAAAGCGCGCGCAGGUGGUUUAAUAAGUCUGAUGUGAAAGCCCACGGCUCAACCGUGGAGGGUCAUUGGAAACUGUUAAACUUGAGUGCAGGAGAGAAAAGUGGAAUUCCUAGUGUAGCGGUGAAAUGCGUAGAGAUUAGGAGGAACACCAGUGGCGAAGGCGGCUUUUUGGCCUGUAACUGACACUGAGGCGCGAAAGCGUGGGGAGCAAACAGGAUUAGAUACCCUGGUAGUCCACGCCGUAAACGAUGAGUGCUAAGUGUUGGUCUCAUAAGAGAUCAGUGCUGCAGCUAACGCAUUAAGCACUCCGCCUGGGGAGUACGACCGCAAGGUU